AGCAUAGCAUGUAAUGGAAAGCAUAGAGGGUAGUUUUGCAGCAAAUAGUUGCUCCAUUGUAAGUUCAUAGGUUCAAGCUAGAACAGUAGUCUGCUCUUGGUUGUCUAUCUUAUNNNNNNNNNCCCUCAUCCACCUUAAUUUCUUCUUUCUCCAAAAUUCUGUUGUUGCAUUGGAUGAUCUUUGUCGCCCAUGCACGUAGCUUCUCAGUAGAUUCCUCAUCAAGUCUUGGGACAGUGUG
rnacentral:misc_RNA from 1 species